GAUUAAAAUUCAAAAACAGAACGAGAGUUCACCUGCCGGAACCGUUAGACUUGUUCGAAAUGCGCUGACCGUGAGAACAACUAGGGUAUACUCAGUAAUUCGGCAAAACACGCGUUCCAACUCUAUCAACCCCGGACAUUGACACAAAACUAGGGUACUUACAGUAAAACGUGGCUUCCAAACAUUGGUAACCCCUUACAAAAGAACGAGACUACAUAGUUCAACGGUACCCCCACUAGAUCUCCAGAGAAGGAACAGGUUUCAUACAGUAUGGAUUAGUUCUGUACAAGUAAAUUAAAUGGGCAGUACAUUUACUGUGUUGUACUAAGUGAACACAUAUCACAUUUUUAUAUAAAUAAAUACCAUGUGUCCACAAGUUUAAUAUCAACACUUUGCACAUAU
rnacentral:rRNA from 1 species